AAUUGAUCCUUAACUGAUUGGCUCAGUGGGUAGAGGAGGUGCACAUAUACUGAAAGGUUUAUGCCUUGACGCAGAGGUCCGGGGUUCGAGUCCAACCUGUGACGAUUUCCUGCAGGUCGUCCCCCUUUCUCACCUAGCUGUCCUAUCAAA